rnacentral:rRNA from 1 species
UAAUAGUGUAUAUUAAAGUUGUUGCAGUUAAAAAGCUCGUAGUUGAAUGUUGGUGUCGAACGAGCGGUCAGCUUCGGCUGUACUGCUCUCUCGACUCCUUCCUUCUGUGGACUACGUCGCACUUUACUGUGUGGCGCUAGGACGCAGAUCGUUUACUGUGAAAAAAUUAGAGUGUUCAAAGCAGGCCGUACGCUUGAAUACAUUAGCAUGGAAUAAUGGAAUAGGACGUCGGGCCUAUUUUGUUGGUUCUAGGACCGUCGUAAUGAUCAAUAGGGACAGUUGGGGCCGUUUAUAUUCCGUAGUCAGAGGUGAAAUUCUUGGAUUUACGGAAGAUAAACUACUGCGAAAGCAUUCGGCAAGGAUGUUUNCGUUAA